GGUUAAGCGACUAAGCGUACACGGUGGAUGCCCUGGCAGUCAGAGGCGAUGAAGGACGUGCUAAUCUGCGAAAAGCGUCGGUAAGGUGAUAUGAACCGUUAUAACCGGCGAUGUCCGAAUGGGGAAACCCAGUGCAAUUCGUUGCACUAUCGUUAACUGAAUACAUAGGUUAACGAGGCGAACCGGGGGAACUGAAACAUCUAAGUACCCCGAGGAAAAGAAAUCAACCGAGAUUCCCCCAGUAGCGGCGAGCGAACGGGGAGCAGCCCAGAGUCUGAAUCAGCUUGUGUGUUAGUGGAACGGUCUGGAAAGUCCGACGGUACAGGGUGAUAGUCCCGUACACCAAAAUGCACAGGCUGUGAACUCGAAGAGUAGGGCGGGACACGUGGUAUCCUGUCUGAAUAUGGGGGGACCAUCCUCCAAGGCUAAAUACUCCUGACUGACCGAUAGUGAACCAGUACCGUGAGGGAAAGGCGAAAAGAACCCCGGCGAGGGGAGUGAAAAAGAACCUGAAACCGUGUACGUACAAGCAGUGGGAGCACCUUCGGGUGUGACUGCGUACCUUUUGUAUAAUGGGUCAGCGACUUAUAUUCUGUAGCAAGGUUAACCGUAUAGGGGAGCCGCAGGGAAACCGAGUCUUAACUGGGCGUUAAGUUGCAGGGUAUAGACCCGAAACCCGGUGAUCUAGCCAUGGGCAGGUUGAAGGUUGGGUAACACUAACUGGAGGACCGAACCGACUAAUGUUGAAAAAUUAGCGGAUGACUUGUGGCUGGGGGUGAAAGGCCAAUCAAACCGGGAGAUAGCUGGUUCUCCCCGAAAGCUAUUUAGGUAGCGCCUCGUGAACUCAUCUUCGGGGGUAGAGCACUGUUUCGGCUAGGGGGUCAUCCCGACUUACCAACCCGAUGCAAACUACGAAUACCGAAGAAUGUUAUCACGGGAGACACACGGCGGGUGCUAACGUCCGUCGUGAAGAGGGAAACAACCCAGACCGCCAGCUAAGGUCCCAAAGUCAUGGUUAAGUGGGAAACGAUGUGGGAAGGCACAGACAGCCAGGAUGUUGGCUUAGAAGCAGCCAUCAUUUAAAGAAAGCGUAAUAGCUCACUGGUCGAGUCGGCCUGCGCGGAAGAUGUAACGGGGCUAAACCAUGCACCGAAGCUGCGGCAGCGACACUAUGUGUUGUUGGGUAGGGGAGCGUUCUGUAAGCCUGCGAAGGUGUGCUGUGAGGCAUGCUGGAGGUAUCAGAAGUGCGAAUGCUGACAUAAGUAACGAUAAAGCGGGUGAAAAGCCCGCUCGCCGGAAGACCAAGGGUUCCUGUCCAACGUUAAUCGGGGCAGGGUGAGUCGACCCCUAAGGCGAGGCCGAAAGGCGUAGUCGAUGGGAAACAGGUUAAUAUUCCUGUACUUGGUGUUACUGCGAAGGGGGGACGGAGAAGGCUAUGUUAGCCGGGCGACGGUUGUCCCGGUUUAAGCAUGUAGGCUGUGUUGUCCAGGCAAAUCCGGAUAAUCAAGGCUGAGGUGUGAUGACGAGGCACUACGGUGCUGAAGUAACAAAUGCCCUGCUUCCAGGAAAAGCCUCUAAGCAUCAGGUAACAUCAAAUCGUACCCCAAACCGACACAGGUGGUCAGGUAGAGAAUACCAAGGCGCUUGAGAGAACUCGGGUGAAGGAACUAGGCAAAAUGGUGCCGUAACUUCGGGAGAAGGCACGCUGGUGUGUAGGUGAAGUCCCUGCGGAUGGAGCUGAGACCAGUCGAAGAUACCAGCUGGCUGCAACUGUUUAUUAAAAACACAGCACUGUGCAAACACGAAAGUGGACGUAUACGGUGUGACGCCUGCCCGGUGCCGGAAGGUUAAUUGAUGGGGUUAUCCGUAAGGAGAAGCUCUUGAUCGAAGCCCCGGUAAACGGCGGCCGUAACUAUAACGGUCCUAAGGUAGCGAAAUUCCUUGUCGGGUAAGUUCCGACCUGCACGAAUGGCGUAAUGAUGGCCAGGCUGUCUCCACCCGAGACUCAGUGAAAUUGAACUCGCUGUGAAGAUGCAGUGUACCCGCGGCAAGACGGAAAGACCCCGUGAACCUUUACUAUAGCUUGACACUGAACAUUGAGCCUUGAUGUGUAGGAUAGGUGGGAGGCUUUGAAGCGUGGACGCCAGUCUGCGUGGAGCCAACCUUGAAAUACCACCCUUUAAUGUUUGAUGUUCUAACGUUGGCCCCUGACCGGGGUUGCGGACAGUGUCUGGUGGGUAGUUUGACUGGGGCGGUCUCCUCCCAAAGCGUAACGGAGGAGCACGAAGGUUAGCUAAUCCUGGUCGGACAUCAGGAGGUUAGUGCAAUGGCAUAAGCUAGCUUGACUGCGAGCGUGACGGCGCGAGCAGGUGCGAAAGCAGGUCAUAGUGAUCCGGUGGUUCUGAAUGGAAGGGCCAUCGCUCAACGGAUAAAAGGUACUCCGGGGAUAACAGGCUGAUACCGCCCAAGAGUUCAUAUCGACGGCGGUGUUUGGCACCUCGAUGUCGGCUCAUCACAUCCUGGGGCUGAAGUAGGUCCCAAGGGUAUGGCUGUUCGCCAUUUAAAGUGGUACGCGAGCUGGGUUUAGAACGUCGUGAGACAGUUCGGUCCCUAUCUGCCGUGGGCGCUGGAGAAUUGAGGGGGGCUGCUCCUAGUACGAGAGGACCGGAGUGGACGCAUCACUGGUGUUCGGGUUGUCAUGCCAAUGGCACUGCCCGGUAGCUAAAUGCGGAAGAGAUAAGUGCUGAAAGCAUCUAAGCACGAAACUUGCCCCGAGAUGAGUUCUCCCUGAGACUUUAAGUCUCCUGAAGGAACGUUAAAGACGAUGACGUUGAUAGGCCGGGUGUGUAAGCGCAGCGAUGCGUUGAGCUAACCGGUACUAAUGAACCGUGAGGCUUAACCUU
rnacentral:rRNA from 1 species